rnacentral:rRNA from 1 species
GACGAACCGUACGAACGUUAUUCGGAAUCACUGGGCUUAAAGGGUGCGUAGGCGGCGCUGAAAGUUGGGUGUGAAAUCCCUCGGCUCAACCGAGGAACUGCGCCCAAAACUACAGUGCUCGAGGGAGAUAGAGGUGAGCGGAACUUAGGGUGGAGCGGUGAAAUGCGUUGAUAUCCUAAGGAACGCCAGGGGCGAAAGCGGCUCACUGGAUCUCUUCUGACGCUGAGGCACGAAAGCUAGGGUAGCGAACGGG